ensembl:lncRNA
CGAUGUAAACACUGCGCUGUAAUGCAUGUAAACUCUGCGCUGGAUAAACGAAAACGCUGCGAUGGAUAAAGGUCAUAAACCCAAGAAAAGCUCGUCAAAAGGCGUUAUAGAUGCAAAGGCAUACAGGGAAGGACUUGGACCGGGCGAAAAAGCACGAUAUUUGAGGAAGUUCGAUUUGAUUGGUGGUGCAGAUCCCUACGAGUUGGCUCCCUCGUCUUGGAUCAAUGACGAACCGGAGAGUCUUCCGUCUGUUUGUUAUCCUGACAUCGUCAACUACCUGGUUUUCUCGCCAAGCCCAUACACAGCGGAAGACCUUAAAGUGUACAAAAGUUUGGAGGCCUAUAACCAGAUGGUGUGUGGAUGGGUGAGGGAGAUUCAAUACCAAGUCAUCGACGACAGAUGUGUUGCGAAGGCCAAAGUUCUCCAUUCUCAAUCAAUCCGAGAAACACCCUUGGAACCCUGGAUAAUCGCUGAGAAGUCUGGUCGGAUACUUGGAGCCCACUGCACGUGUAUGGCUGGCCUCGGAGAGACGUGCACACAUGUUGCUGCAUUAUUGUUUCUCAUAGAAGAAACAGUGAAGUUGAGG